UGUAAGCAAUUGCUGUAAAUUAACAGCCAAUUUUCAACAGUAAAAUACUGUUUUCAUGUUAAACAGUUUAGUACUGUAGUUAGCAAUGCAUUGUGGGCUGAUUAAAUUGGAGCAACAAGACAGAGGCCCUCAACAGUAAGUUGAUGUUUUAAAUUACAGGACAAUACAGUAUUUUCUCGAAAAUGCGUGUUGACUGGGGAAUUUGGAGCACGGUCAGAAGCUAAGAAAUGUUAGUCUUAUAAAUUGAAGCUAGCCUAUUACUUUUGGUCAAUUUUCUUUAAAAAAUACAGAUAUAAUUUGCCAUUAACUCCUGGAUGGAAUUUCGGGAACCAUUAUUUGGAUAGGAGAUUUUCCAGAAGAGGACGUACAAUUUAGAUGACGUGCUGCACAUCGUCAAGUGUUCUUCAUCAAAUUGAUCGGGUCUUGCAUCUACAAAUGAAACGGUGUCUGCCACUGCAGUUGAUGUUGAGACAACUCUCAGUCUUCCUGCAAGUCCUCGCCUGAUACCUGGCGCUUCAUUGAUAUAAAUCCAGAGAGAGGGACAAAUGCCAAAAUCAUCAAGCAAGGUUGUCUCUAAGAAGAAAGGUGUGAUGGUCCAGAAGUCGUCUUCUGCAGUCAAAUACACAUGUGGCCAUGCUACUGAAGAAUCUCCUUGACUUUUUAAUGGAACUUCAUAUAGAUCUUGGCAGCACGGGAAUAAUGCUGCAGAGAGGAACAGCGGCUAUCAAAGUGAUGAUCGUCUCUUCAUCCACAAGAACUAAGAUGUAAAAACAGAUCGUCUCUUCAUUCACAAGAACUAAGAUGUAAAAACACAAACCUAACUCACAGGACAAUUUUAAGAGGUAACCUGCAAGUCUAGCUUGCAGUGGCACAGGUGCCUACCCUACGGUUCCAUCCUAAAUGUUUUUAUGCAUGUUAUUGAUACAUCCUGACAAAAUGUUCUACUGUACUAUAAUAGUUUCAAAAUGGCCUUAGGUAUGUUUUCAAACUUAUGUCUUAAAUAAAAAAGUAAACUAUAGGUUAUGCCCUUCACAUUUGGUAAGGAUUAGGGGCAGUCUCUGACGAGCAAUUUAAGAAUGUUAAGUUUAUUGCCAUAGUCUAAAGCAGGAGUGGGGAACCCUGGGUCCUGGAGGGCCACUGUCCACCAGAGUUUAGUUCCAACCCUAAUCAAACACACCGGAAUUUAAUU